GGACUUGUGGCCUAGCCUGGAUAAGGCGUUAGCCUCCUAAGUUAAUGAUCAGGGGUUCAAAUCCCCUCAAGUCCG
rnacentral:tRNA from 1 species